rnacentral:rRNA from 1 species
GCGACCCCAGGACAGGCGAGGCCA